rnacentral:rRNA from 1 species
UACGUAGGGAGCGAGCGUUGUCCGGAUUCAUUGGGCGUAAAGAGCUCGUAGGCGGCUUGGUAAGUCGGAUGUGAAACCUCCAGGCUCAACCUGGAGUCGCCAUCCGAUACUGCCAUGGCUAGAGUCCGGUAGGGGCCCACGGAAUUCCUGGUGUAGCGGUGAAAUGCGCAGAUAUCCGGAAGAACACCGGUGGCGAAGGCGGUCUGCUGGGCAGUUGCUGACACUGAGGCGCGACAGUGUGGGGAGCAAACAGG